rnacentral:rRNA from 1 species
UGCACUUCGGGAUAAGCCUGGGAAACUGGGUCUAAUACCGGAUAUGACCUCCUAUCGCAUGGUGGGUGGUGGAAAGAUUUAUCGGUGCAGGAUGGGCCCGCGGCCUAUCAGCUUGUUGGUGGGGUAAUGGCCUACCAAGGCGACGACGGGUAGCCGACCUGAGAGGGUGACCGGCCACACUGGGACUGAGACACGGCCCAGACUCCUACGGGAGGCAGCAGUGGGGAAUAUUGCACAAUGGGCGAAAGCCUGAUGCAGCGACGCCGCGUGAGGGAUGACGGCCUUCGGGUUGUAAACCUCUUUCAGCAGGGACGAAGCGCAAGUGACGGUACCUGCAGAAGAAGCACCGGCUAACUACGUGCCAGCAGCCGCGGUAAUACGUAGGGUGCAAGCGUUGUCCGGAAUUACUGGGCGUAAAGAGUUCGUAGGCGGUUUGUCGCGUCGUUUGUGAAAACCAGCAGCUCAACUGCUGGCUUGCAGGCGAUACGGGCAGACUUGAGUACUGCAGGGGAGACUGGAAUUCCUGGUGUAGCGGUGAAAUGCGCAGAUAUCAGGAGGAACACCGGUGGCGAAGGCGGGUCUCUGGGCAGUAACUGACGCUGAGGAACGAAAGCGUGGGUAGCGAACAGGAUUAGAUACCCUGGUAGUCCACGCCGUAAACGGUGGGCGCUAGGUGUGGGUUCCUUCCACGGAAUCCGUGCCGUAGCUAACGCAUUAAGCGCCCCGCCUGGGGAGUACGGCCGCAAGGCUAAAACUCAAAGGAAUUGACGG